rnacentral:rRNA from 1 species
GACGAACGCUGGCGGCGUGCUUAACACAUGCAAGUCGAACGUGAUUUUUAUGGAAAUUCUUUCGGGAAUGGAAAUGAAAUGAAAGUGGCGAACGGGUGAGUAACACGUGAGCAACCUACCUUACACAGGGGGAUAGCCGUUGGAAACGACGAUUAAUACCGCAUGAGACCACAGAAUCGCAUGAUAUAGGGGUCAAAGAUUUAUCGGUGUAAGAAGGGCUCGCGUCUGAUUAGCUAGUUGGAAGGGUAAAGGCCUACCAAGGCGACGAUCAGUAGCCGGUCUGAGAGGAUGAACGGCCACAUUGGAACUGAGACACGGUCCAAACUCCUACGGGAGGCAGCAGUGGGGAAUAUUGCACAAUGGGGGGAACCCUGAUGCAGCGACGCCGCGUGAGCGAAGAAGGUUUUCGAAUCGUAAAGCUCUGUCCUAGAGAAGAUAAGAC